rnacentral:rRNA from 1 species
AGAGUUUGAUCCUGGCUCAGGAUAAACGCUGGCGGCGUGCCUAACACAUGCAAGUCGAACGUCCUUGAGAGGAAACUGUCAAGGGAGUGGCGGACGGGUGAGUAGCACGUGGGUAUCUACCUUGGGGUGAGGAAUACCGGCGAGAAAUCGCCGACAAGACCGCAUACGCUCGUGGAAACGCGAGUAAAGUCGCAAGACGC